rnacentral:ncRNA from 1 species
GGCAAGAUGUGUGUUGUGGGCCUACGCGGCGAGCCGCGCAGACCCCCAACACCGCCCCUUACUCGCCUGCGGCUCGACGGCAUCUUGCUCUGCGAGGC